GGGGGCAUGGUUUAGUGGUAUAAUGUUUCGUUUGCAUCGAAAAGGUCGCGAGUUCGAUUCUUGCUGCCUCCA
rnacentral:tRNA from 2 species